GACGAACGCUGGCGGCGUGCUUAACACAUGCAAGUCGAACGGAAAGGCCCUGCUUUUGUGGGGUGCUCGAGUGGCGAACGGGUGAGUAUCACGUGAGUAACCUGCCCUUUACUUUGGGAUAACUUCAGGAAACUGGGGCUAAUACCCGAUAUGAGCUCCUGCUGCAUGGUGGGGGUUGGAAAGUUUCGGCGGUUGGGGAUGGACUCGCGGCUUAUCAGCUUGUUGGUGGGGUAGUGGCUUACCAAGGCUUUGACGGGUAGCCGGCCUGCGAGGGUGACCGGCCACAUUGGGCCUGAGAUACGGGCCAGACUCCUACGGGAGGCAGCAGUGGGGAAUAUUGCACAAUGGGCGGAAGCCUGAUGCAGCAACGCCGCGUGCGGGAUGACGGCCUUCGGGUUGUAAACCGCUUUCGCCUGUGACGAAGCGUGAGUGACGGUAAUGAGUAAAGAAGCACCGGCUAACUACGUG
rnacentral:rRNA from 1 species